UUGGGACCACAAACCAGAAACCAAACACAUGCGAAAUGGGAUUUGGCACUGUUUUGAGGCUGGCUGGUGAACGGAGCUUAGAGCUGCCCCAGAGAGAUGAGUGCUGUGGAGUGAGAAAGGCUGGAGGUCACAGUAUUUGGUGGUAUGGUGAAGGAGCAUUCACCUGCAUCACAAGAUGUGCUAUUAGGGCUGAUUGAGAUGCACCCAAAAACCCACACGUUGGUGCUGUUGUUGGAAGCCCUCAGUGCUCUUGUGAGGAGAUCUCCUUCCCCACCUCCCCUUGUCUCCAGUGAGGCACCACGUGUAGCCUGGUCUUUGCCCCAUGCUCACUUUGAAAGGCUUCCAUACUAGCCCUGACCACCCCCAUGGGCCCACAACUAACCUUCACUUGCCAACAAGCAAAAGAUUUGCUUGCCAACAAGCAAAAACCAUGGCCUUUGGUGUCAAAACAAUGCAAAAAAGACCACAGCUCGAUGAUCAAACCCAGUCAUCUCGCUGGGAGGUGGGCUGGCAGCUGGGAUGAGCAGAGAGGCCCUCCUGUGUUCUUCCUGCACCUCAGUAUGGAGUAGAUGAAGCAAAGGAAGCAAAUAUUUCAGAACAGAGCAUGUUACACUGAGCCUGGUCACACUGGAGAUGGUGGAAAGGCUAAAGUUCAAGUUCACAGACCCCAGAGCUGUGGUUCAUGAGCAGCACCGCGAACGAAGCUGCCUUGUCCUGCUCGUUUCUCAGAGGUUGUGCUGAAGAAGGCUUCACACAUCCUGCAGUGCCUUCUGCGCUCCAGAGUGGUACACAGCCCAGCGUGCCGAGGGGAAACAGAACUGUGGCUAUAAAGAGAGGAGCAAAUUACAGCAACUGUGCGCUACACAAGGUCUCCCAAUUACCCUCGUGGCUACAGAGAACCGUAACAGCUGUGUUAUACAUGCUUGCCUGGAGUAAAAGCGCGUGUCAGUGCUCCGCUGGACAGCCGCAGGAAGGAGUGAGAAGGGGAGAGGCAUGAUUUCGGUGAGCUGUCGCGCACUAAGGUUAGAAGGGAAUGCCUGGCCAUCUCUGCUGGCAUCUCCUGGCUGCUCUUUGUGUGCCAGGGUCGUGGAGCCGUCCUCUGGCAGGGAGAGCUGUGUCCUGCCAGUGCCAAACCAGAACCGUCAGAUUCUCCCUCUGCAUCAAAAACCGGGCACAAACAAGAGGGGAAAUAAACCCCAGGACGGAGCAGGAUGGCUUCGUGGUUGCGUUUGGAAACACGGUGGAGACCUGCGUGGUGAUGCCUUGUUUUCUUUCAUGCUGGGUUUGGAAGCCAGCAAAAAAAUCAUGAAGGAGGGUGCCCUGCUGCUGCUGAACCCUCUGCAGCAGUAAUUUUGGGUAUUAUCGAGCAAUAGCAGCCGUGGCACAGCUUGGGAGUGAGUUUCUAUUACGGGCUGCUUUCUGUCUGCCUUUUCAGAAAUCCACGAGAGCACCUCUUUGGGCUUGAGUGCCGCGUGCAUUUUUUCUACAAAAACAUUGCUGUUGAAGCAAAGUGAGUUUACAAGCAUGAAAGCAGAGCUGCUGAAUGGAAGUCUCUGGUGUGUUAGCACCCUGUAGCAAAUACGAGAGGGAGAUGUUUUCAAGUCAGUUUACCGAGCUCCUGUGAAAUUACUUGUGGAUGGAGUCACAUUUUAUAAGCACACAGGAACACCUGAAUCACCCAUUUCCCAAAGCAGCUUUCAGCAGGAAGCCCACUAACUUCUCCAGAAAUUUCAAGGCACUUGCACGCAGAGAUUGCUGCUGUGUAUGAGAGCUUGAGCCUACGUGUUCCCGGCAUCUGAGCUUUUAAUUUUUUUAAAUAAAAUUGCCAAGGUCGUAAAUGCUGUUGCUGUCAAAGCGCUCUCAGGAACAUCAACUUAAGACAGCACCAGCAAAUGGUUGUUCCCUUUUCAAGGACAAAAAAGUAAAGGGUUUCGAGCUCUUUUUCAAUUUAUAGAGAAAGCUUAAAAUGUAGCUCCAUCACCCUGUUCUGGCCUGUCAGUGAUAAAAAUGAAGCUUUUCAUCAUCAGAACAGUAGGAAAAGACAUUUAUGGUGGCCCCUGUGUUUCCUGCAAGCCUGGGGAGGCUCACGGGAGCUCUGACUCCUUGCUCUCCGUGGUGAGGGCCGCGGGGUUUGCAACGUCCAUAAAAUGCUGGGGCACUGAGCCAAAAUCAACACCGGCAGUACCGAGCAGUGCAGCCACCCAGCUCGUAGCAGCAGGGAAGCAGCACGGGCACGGGGCAGCUCUUCCCUGCCUGCCUCUGGCUCUUUUGGGGUGAGAAGCCCCGGAGGGUGAGCCUGGGUGCCCACAGGAGCUGCGCACCCUGAAGGAGGGAGGAGGAGGAGCAGAAAGCCACGGCAGUGGUUCCUCUUCCCCGCCUUCUCUUUUGAGGGCAGUUUGUGCUGUGAGUUUCCUAUGCCCCGUGCCCUGCUGAUGUGCUCUUCCUGAAGAGAUGCCCUUUGAACUCAUCCCAAACCCCUGCCUGAAGGGUUGCAGGGUGCAAAGCUGGGAUUGCCCCACAUUCGGCAUUUCCAGGGGAGGCUUUGGAUGCCUGUCGCAGGGAGUGUUUCUGGCUAGCGAGUCUGUGCUUGUAGGCUCAUAAACUUCCCUCGCAUUUUUUUG